rnacentral:rRNA from 1 species
GUUUGCGGCGGGCUUAACACAUGCAAGUCGAACGAGAAUCCCUUCGGGGAGGAAAGUGGCGCACGGGUGCGUAACACGUGGAUGACCUACCCCUUGGUUCGGGACAACAGCGGGAAACUGCUGCUAAUACCGGAUGUGUCGUAGCAAUACGAGAAAGGCCCGCAAGGGUCGCCAGAGGACGGGUCCGCGUCCCAUCAGCUAGUUGGUGAGGUAAUGGCUCACCAAGGCGAAGACGGGUAGCUGGUCUGAGAGGAUGAUCAGCCACACUGGAACUGAGACACGGUCCAGACUCCUACGGGAGGCAGCAGUGGGGAAUAUUGCGCAAUGGGCGAAAGCCUGACGCAGCCACGCCGCGUGAGCGAUGAAGGUCUUCGGAUCGUAAAGCUCUGUGGGGGGAGAAGAAGAAAGUCGGU